rnacentral:piRNA from 1 species
UGCCAAUGGACCGAUGCCUGCCUGUCU